UCCUCUAACAAUUGAAUGGCU
rnacentral:piRNA from 1 species